AAGGAAGAGAGGAGGCGGGGGAGAGAGAAAGCAGAAGAGGAAAAAACAUGGCGCUUGCGAGCUAGGUGGGCUCCAGUCACCGGCUGCGGGAUUGCGGAGUCCGCCGCGGCCUCGGCUCCCGCCCGGCGCCCGGCCUGGCCCCACCGCCGCUCACUCGGUCCGCAUCGCCGCCACCUCCGGAGCUGGUGGGGAGCCCGGCGAGGGAGGGCCUGGAAGGGGCCCUGGGCGCCGAGUCCCCCGCCGGCGCCGACACCGCCUGCCAGGAGCAGCCGGCCUGCUCGAGGUGACUGCAGCCGCGCGGUUCUGGCGCGGCUUCUUCACCAACAUGAGCGGGUCUCUGCGUCCGAGAGUGAGCGCAGCCGGGCAGCGCCUAGUGGAUUACAGCAGACGCCCGGACCGACCGCCGCCUGUAGCUCGGCAGCCUUCGGAUCAGGGAGCCGAUAGCAUGUCCGGGCCUUGGUGACGACGGGUCAGGCCAUGAACUGGGCUUGAGAUCUCUGGCGAGGACCAGGAGAAAGACGAAGCUCGAAAUUAUAAAUGUGGCCAAGCACGAGAGCUGAAAACAAAGCGUAUUUUCCCGUCAGAUGUUUCUACAAAUAAAUUUCGCCAGAGUUCUGUUUUCUGAAUCAGAGAGGCAAGGGAAAUCGAACAAAGACAGUAUUUCACCCUGGGCUGGCAGGCAGCUGUUAGAGGUAUUUACGGCCUUGCCGCAGUGCGGCGGCCAGGCAGCCGGGUAGGGUAUGCGGGGGCACCGGAAGCUGGGGAGAAGCCAUGAAGAACUCAGAAUUUCAACUUAAAUUCAAUUUAGGGUCACGUUUUCGGAAAUGGCGUGAACAGAUGCCCUCUUUCUAGGGACUGGUCCUUUAGACUUGAUAGUUUUGCAGAAUGAGGGAGAAGUUGUGCUCUCUGGAUGUAGGAUGGUUUUCCCCGCCUUGAAGAACGACUCAAAGGGAAGCGGUGCCCAAGAUGUGACAUUUCUGAUCCACAUAACAACCUUCAGAGUGUUCAUUGGCAACGAGGAGAUGCUGCUUGUUCGGCGGAAUAGGGUUUGCAAAUCAGAAAGGACAGUUGAAGCUUUUAAUACAUGUUUUCCUG
rnacentral:lncRNA from 1 species